ensembl:miRNA Mir6350 microRNA 6350
CCAAUGUAUAGCAGGUGCAUUAUAAAUAUUGGUUGAGCAUGUGAUUGAUACAAAGUGUAUGCUACCAUAUACUUAUCAUAUUUUCAUGCCUUGAGCACACGUUGC